AAAAACAUGUCUUUUUGUUUAUGAUUUAAGGUUUGACCUGCCCAAUGAUUUUUAUUAAAUGGCUGCAGUAUUUUGACUGUACAAAGGUAGCAUAAUCAUUAGUUUCUUAAUUAGAAGCUGGUAUGAAUGGUUUGAUGAGAAAUCUACUGUCUCAAUUUAAUUGUUUUAGAAUUUUAUUUUUAAGUGAAAAAGCUUAGAUUUUUUAAGAAGACGAGAAGACCCUAUAGAGUUUUACAUAAUAAUAAUUUUUUAUUAAUGAUUUUAUUAUUUUUUAUUUUUUAUUAUGUUUUGUUGGGGUGAUGCGAAAAUUUUUUUAACUUUUCUUUAUUUUUACACUGAUUAGUGGGUUGAUGAUCCUUUCUAGAUUAUAAGAUUAAAUUACCUUAGGGAUAACAGCGUAAUUUUUUUUGAAAGUUCUUAUUGAUAAAAAAGUUUGCGACCUCGAUGUUGGAUUAAAGUUUAUUUCUGGUGUAGAAGCUAGUAAAUUAGGUCUGUUCGACC
rnacentral:rRNA from 1 species